AGACAGACUAGGAGCUUAUAAUUGACUGAUGGGGCUGGACAGGUGAUCACUGCACACUGGAAUGUGGGAAGCAUAGGAUACCAUCCGAACACGGGGAAGACCGCUCUCAUUUGCAGAGCCCAAGGAGACUUUCCUGAGGAGAUGGUGACUCAGCCAAGACUUCAAAGAUAAACAGGCUUAAUAUAAACAAAAGAAGCCCUGUUGGAGUUUCUGGAAAGAUAAGUGUAAUGUGGAAGGGGAGAGGUCCUCCAGUGCCACACAAUUCCCCUCCCUCCACCUCUGCUUCCCAAAGAAACAUCCUCACCCUGAGCAGGGACACAGGAGGUGGUUCAGGACCACGGAGAGCACCGCAGCCACCUUCUCACCACCGUUUUGAUCUUGUUAAUGCUAAAGGGCACAGCUCAGGCUAAGAUCUGAGUAAAAGAAGGGCAGGCUCUGUGGAGGUUUGGGAACCACCAGGUUGGGAGCAGAGGAAGGAGAGUCUAGGGGGCUGGCUAAGGUCCAGGGUAUUGACUGUCACUUCUCCAACUGGGUGAAGGCUGCAAUCCAGACCCAAGGGGAGCCUGGUGAACAACCAGGCCUGGGAGCCCAGGAAUCCCACUGGCCACAAGGAAAACAGCAGGAUGAUUGAGCAUUAUUUACAAUAGGUAAGAUAUGGAAACAACCUAAGUGUCCAUCUGUGGAUGAACGUAUAAAUAAGAUGUGGUACAUAUAUGCAAUGGAAGGUCAUUCAGCCAUAAAACGAAGGAAAUCCUGCCAUUUGCAACAACAUGGAUGGACCUUGAGGGCAUUACACUGAGCCAAGUAAGUCAGACAGAGAAAGACAAAUACGUAUGACCUCACUUAUAUGUGGAAUCUGCAAACAAAAACACAAACCGAGCUCGUAGAUACAGAGAACAGACUGGGGGUUGCCAGAGGUGGGGUUGGGGUGGGUGAAAUGGGUAAAGGUGGUCAAAAGGCAUAAAUUUUCAGUUAUCAAAUAAAAUAAGUUAUGGGGAUGCCCUGUACAGCAUGGUGACUAUAGUUAAUAAUGCUGUGUUGUAUAUUUGGACGUUGCUAAGAGGAUCUUAAAAUUACCUAUCACAGGAAAAAACAAUUUUGUAACUAUGUGUGGUGAUGGAUGUUAACUAGACUUGUAGUGAUCAUUUUGCAAUAUAUGCAAAUAUCCAAUCAUUACUUUGUACACCUGAAACUAACAUAAUGUUAUAUGCCAGUUAUACCUCAAUUAAAGAAAAAGAAAUGUGAGCAUUUAUUAUCACAGCUGGGGACUGACACCGUACUUGCCUCAGCUUCUGCUCAGCCCAGCAAACCCUGACAGGUCCGCCGUGGUUGACAAAGCCUGCUCCAGUCCACAAGCUCAGGUGGCCCCGUUUUACAGAGAAAGAAAUGCAGACGACUCAGGAGCCAAAGGACAUUUCUCGGACCCUACAACUAGUCCAGAGUCACUUCACCUCUCUGAGCCUCAGACUCCUAACUGUCCACUGGGAGUUGCCAUCACCAGAAGGCAGUGCCCAGGAAGUCAGGGACUUUAAUGGGCUGUUUGCUGUAUAUCCCAGGGCCUACAAUGGAAUAAGGUACAUGGUGCUCAAAAGUAUACGUCAGCGUGAUGCUGACACUCCUCCCUUUGAGUGGCAGGGUCUGGGCUCACGCCCCUUGAAUCCUGGCAGGCCUGUGACUAUGUCAGAAGAGACGUGACUUCUGAGGCUGGGUCAGAAAAGUAACAACGUUCUGUCCAGUUCUCUUGAGAUGUCUACCCUUGGAACUCAGUCGCCCUGGUGUGAGGAAGCACAAGUUACACAGAGGCCACGAGCACAUGCUCCAGUCCACAGCCCUGCUGUGGUCCCAGCUGACAGGCAGCCUCAACUGCCUGACAUGCACAUGAGGAAGACUCCAGCCCCAGCCGCCAUAACCGCAUGUGAGGCUCCAAGUGGAACCAGUCAAUCCCCAGAGCUGUGGGAUAUAGUAGUAAAAUGUUGUUUCAAGCCACUAAAUGUUGGAGGUGAUUUGUUAU
rnacentral:lncRNA from 1 species